rnacentral:sRNA from 1 species
GUCUAGCCCUGAUUGAAACGGCAUCCUUUUUAAUUGUCAGUUCGAGUGAAUUUGUGAAGAAUGAACAAAUUUGUAUCGAGAAUAAAAUUAAAAAGAUAUAGUGGAAAGCAGGAAAUAGC